GUACGAGCUAAAAUACUAACAGUCGACGAUGAAUUUCAGCAAAACAGCAUCACUUGAGUUCGAAGUAGUAAGAACUUGCCCAAAAACAAAUGGAAAUGCUGAAUUACCCACCUCGACAACGCCAAGCACCGAUGCGACAGCAAAAACGGCAAAAACCCACGCUCGCCCGGCCUCCUCGCGCUACCCCGGCGUCAAAAGUGUGCUCGAACGGUCCCGCAGCGCGACGUCGGCGACAAACCUUCCAACCGAACUUCUUCCUUGCCUUCAACCGGAUGAGAGUGAGAGAGAGAUGAAGAUGAAGAAAAAGGACUCCUCUCUCUCUCUACACAAAGUUAUAUAGAGAGAGGGAGAGCUACUGAUACAAACGAGGUGGAGAUUUACUCAAAUACCCUCUCACCUACCCCCUUGUACCGGUACACGGGCUCCUGUACCGGUACAAGAGCCAACCCGAGGGCAACCUGCGCGCAGCCUCGCUAGUUGUACCGGUACAGCGACGCUGGUUGUAUCGGUACAGCAAGUAGAGAAAUCUGCUGUUUUGCAGAUUUCUUCGCUAUAAGCUGCCCUCGCGUCGCACGGAGUCCGUUUUGCGUAUAUUUGACGCCAAUGCGACUCGGACUUGUCCCGACACUCUCCAGAGCUGCCGACAAGCCUCCACAAUAGUACACCAGGGAUCUCACAUCCUCCCCCUCUACAAAAAGUUUCGUCCGCAAAACUUAAGUACACCUCAACUCAGGCAUCAAACAACUAGGGAUAGGCCUCCCUCAUCACCGUCUCAGGCUCCCAAGUCGCCUCCCGUUCCUCGUGAUCGCUCCACUGCACUUUCACAUACGGUAUGACCCAGUUGCGCAAUUCUUUCGUCUCCCAAGCAAGAAUCCGCAAAGGUCGCUCCUCGUAUCUCAGAUCCUCGCUAAUCUCUAGUGGAGUGAAGUCGAUCACGUGAGAGGGAUCGAAAACGUAUCUUCUCAAUACUGAGACGUAGAAAACAUCGUAUAUGCCAGCAAAUCGCGGGGGUAGAGUUAUUCUGUAUGCAACCGGUCAAACUCGCUCCAAUAUCUCGAAAGGGCCAACAAAUCGUGGACUGAGCUUUCCACGUACCCCAAAUCAGCGUAUCCCUCUGGACGGCGAGACUUUGAGGAAAACAUGAUCUCCAACCUGAAACUUCAAGUCUCGUCUCCUGGUAUCGGCGUAGCUCCUCUGACGGCUCUGUGCUGUCAAAAGGUGUCGUCGAACAACUCUCACAUUUUCCUCAGCCUCAAGUAGAAUCUCCGGUCCAAGUGUCCUCCUCUCACCCACAUCACUCCAAAACAGAGGGGAUCGACAUCUGCGUCCAUACAACGCCUCAAACGGAGCCAUCUGAAUGCUCGUUUGAUAGUUGUUGUCGUACGCAAACUCAACUAGUCUCACAUGUCGAUACCACCCUCCUCCAAAAUCCAGGACGCAUGCCCUCAGCAUGUCCUCUAGAGUCUGUUUGGUCUUCUCUGAUUGACCAUCAAUCUGUGGGUGGAACGCCGUGCUGAAAUGCAGCUGAGUGCCCAAGGCUGUCUGAAGGCUCCUCCAAAACUGGGAUACAAACCUCGGGUCUCUGUCUGACACAAUAGACACUGGCACGCCGUGCAGCCUGACGAUCUCAUCCAGGUAUAUCUGCGCGAGUCUCUCUCUAGACCAGAUAAUCUGAACUGGUAGGAAGUGAGCAGACUUGGUCAGUCUGUCCACUAUCACCCAAAUAGCGUCACAACCACUCUGUGCUCUAGGCAAUCCCACGACAAAAUCCAUCGUGAUGUACUCCCACUUCCACUCUGGCACUGGCAGACUCUGAAGCUUGCCAGCAGGUACCUGCUGCUCGGCCUUCACCUGUUGGCAAGUCAAACACUGAGCCACAUAUCUGCCAAUGUCCCUCUUCAUUCCAUGCCACCAGAACUGUGCCUUUAAAUCCUUAUACAUUUUGGUUCCCCCACGGUGAACCGUAUAAGGAGAACAAUGAGCCUCUCUCAGAAUGUCUGCUCGAAUCUCUGAAUCCACAGGCACACACAGUCGGUCCCUGUACCGCAGUACUCCCGAACUGUUCACAGCAAAACCCUCAGCCUACCCCCUGUCUAGCUGCUCUCUAAUCCUCAACAAGUACGGAUCUCCACUCUGUUUCUCUCGGAUCCUAUCCAACAGAGUGGGCUGCAAAACUAGAGACGUCAGCCUCGCUGUAGAACCAGGAGGUACUAUCUCGAGUCCCAGCUGCUGUAGCUCCUCGAGUAGGGGUCUCUGCUCAGUGAUCGUCAAACUCAGGCUCUGCACUGACUUCCUGCUCAACGCAUCUGCCACAACAUUCGCCUUGCCAGGAUGAUACUGAAUACUAAUAUCAUAGUCCUUCAGUAACUCCAACCACCGGCGCUGCCUCAAGUUCAGCUCCCUCUGUGUGAACAGACACUUGAGACUUUUAUGAUCAGUAAAGACCUUGCAGUGCUCACCGUACAAGUAAUGCCGCUAGAGCUUCAAAGCAAAUACCACCGCGGCAAGCUCCAAAUCAUGCUAGGGUAAUUCUUCUCAUAAUCCUUUAACUGCCGUGAAGCAUAAGCAAUUACCCUACCAUGCUGCAUCAGCACACAACCAUGCAUCACUGAAGAUCACAAAUCCUUCCCCCAUCACCGGAAAGGUAAGGAUAGGAGCCGAUGUCAACCUCAGUCUCAACUCGUCAAAGCUCCUCAGACAGUCGUCACUCUAGACAAAUCGAAUCCUCUUCCACGUCAAGCGUGUAACGGGCAUGGAAAGCUUCGCAAAGCCUUCCACAAACUGACGGUAAUAUCCUGCCAGUCCCAGGAAACUCCGUACCUCAGUCACCGUCGUCGGUCUAGGCCAAUCUCGAAUCGCUUCAAUCUUCUUCGGGUCCACUGCUAUGCCCUCAGCUAAAAUCACGUGGCCCAAGAAAGCAACCUCCCGCAACCAGAACUCGCACUUCUUCAACUUGGCAUACAACUUCUUCUCUCGCAGAAGCUGUAGCACAAUUCUCAAGUGCUCCUCAUGCUUAGCAUCGCUCCGGGAGUAAAUCAGGAUAUCGUCGAUGAAGACUACCACAAACCUAUUCAAGAACGGCUUGAACACUCUGUUCAUCAAAUCCAUGAAUGCGGCAGGGGCAUUUGUCAAUCCAAAAGGCAUCACUGUAAACUCAUAAUGCCCGUACCGAGUCCGAAAAGUCGUCUUGGGAACAUCCUCGGCCCUCACCCUCAACUGGUGGUAACCUGACUGGAGAUCAAUCUUCGAAAAGACAUAAGAUCCCUGCAACUGAUCAAACAAAUCAUCAAUACGCGGCAAGGGAUACUUAUUCUUGAUGGUCACUUUAUUCAACUCCUGGUAAUCCACACACAGCCUAAGUGAACCAUCCUUCUACUUCACAAACAACACCGGCGCUCCCCAAGGCGAAAACACUAGUUCUCACAAACCCUCUAUCAUCAAAUCCUGCAGCUGCGCCUUUAGCUCUCUCAGCUCUGCUGGCGUCAUUCUAUAAGGUACCUUCGAGAUUGGUGCAGUUCCAGGAACUACAUCAAUCAUAAACUCAAUCUCCCUUUUCGGCGGCAACGUAGUCAACUCAGGGGAAAACACAUCCGAAAACUCGCGGACUAUAGGGAUAUCCUCGAGUGCCGGCGCCGCCGUAGGUACCUCCACAACUGUCGCAAGAAAAGCGAUACACCCACUACUCAGCAUUUGUCGAGCUCUCGCCGAAGAUAUCCAUGUGGCAAACAACGUACUCCUGCAGCCUCCGAACGUAAACUCCGUCUGGCCUGGCUCGCAGAACGUCACCGUCCUCGCUCCACAGUCUAUCGUAGUAUAGUACCGCGCCAGCGAAUCCAUACCGAGCACGAUGUCGAAGUCCUGCAGCUGCCCUAACACGAACAGGUCUGCGGGCAUAAACCAUGAAUUUAACUGCACCGGACACGACCAACAACACUCUGCAACCUGUAAAACAUGGUCGGGGAUAUGCACCUCUCGUGCCAAAGACAAUGACCCUAACUCUAGACCAUGCAACAAUACAAAUGCUCGGCUAACAAAAGAAUGCGAGGUACCGGUACCAACUAAAGUAUGAGUACAAAUGCCGAAAAUCACAGUAAUACCUGCCACUACACGAUCGGCUGCUGAAGAGUCCUCCCGGCGGUAACUUGGUGGUGCUCCAAAAGUCUGCUGGUCAGCUGGCUGCGCUGAUGCAAUGGAUAGCGCUGGAAAUGUCGCUCUAGGACACGCUGACCUCACAUGUCCUGGCUGUCCACAAGUGUAGCAGCGGCCCUCUUUCUGCUCAUAUUGUCGGGGCCAGUGUGGUCCUCCACAAAUCACGCACCGCAGCGUCCUCGGUGACGGUCCCUGCUGAAGCAAUCCCCUGGAAUGCUGACGCCCCGAUGAACCACGACCCUGAGAGCAAGAUCGAGAAAGCCUCAGCGGACGUCUGCUACUCGCCUGUCCUCCAUUAUCUGGAAAAGGGCGCUUCCUGUCUUGGCUCUGCCCCGGUGCCAUAGUCCGCUCCUGGACAGGUGUAACUCCGUGUCCCACCAAGAGUGCCUGCUGCACAGAUGCUCCUGUCUCAACGCCUAAAAACUAAGUGAUAAUCUCAUAAAUCCUCUGCAAUAGUACACUCUGCUACUUGAUCACCUCUGCCAGGGCAGCCAACUGCUCUCUCAAAUCAGGGGGUACACUUGCCUCCGGUCGUGCACUCGGCUCUGCCUGGUCAGGCAUCUUUAGCGGUGCGACUCGAUCCUUGGUCGACGGUCGACCACGGCAGCGAUCUGAAAGAAACAGAACGGGGUCAGAUAACACACAAACACUCUCGACCCAAUCAAUGAAAGUCUAGAAGGCAGCCCCUGUUUUCCUCCAAAAUUAUGUCGUCUGCAGCCAACAUAAUUUCUCAGGCCAAAACAGGUACUCCUUCAAUCACUCACCCCACUCACGGAGGAGUUAGAACAACUAAUCAGUGACUUUCGCAAUUAAAUUACGCCUCUCGCAUUUUGCUUUCCUAAGGUUUGCCAAACUUAGGUUCUCUAGGUCCCAACGACCUAAUGCUAAGCUCUGAUACCAAUUUAAUCUGUCACGCCCCGGAUUACACGUUCCCCGAGCACGCCGACAAAUCCGCCGUAUACAAAGAAUUUUUUCCUGUAUACGAAGCGACAGCUGUACCUGUAAAACAUACAAUACUACAAACAACAGUAUAGAGCUGCUAGAAGAACUAAUAAAGUAAAAGAAAUCGAGUUCCAUAUACAUACACUGAAUCCCAUAGUACAAAACUACUCGUGCUGGCGAGUUAAAAGUCUGUAUGUACAUGAACCCAAACCAAAACAUCUACCUGCAGUAGGGGUGCCUCUAGCUCUGCUCCUCGGGUAGGGCUCUAACUCGCGACGCCCUUGCUUAGAUCCUGAUCAGCAAUAGCAGCAGCCGAAGACGAAGGCUCUACAAAAACGGGGUAACAACUGGGCGUGAGAACUAUUGUAGAAACAAGUAGUCCUCAGUGGGUGAAGCCCUCAACAAUCAUCGGUCCACCCACUAAGUCUACAGAAGGUAACAAGGCUAGCAGGAAAAGCUGGAAAGAAAUCUACAGCUACAUAUCGCUAUACUAGCAUGAUCUACACUUACCAACUGUAGUAAAAGUCACAACUGACUCAAUCUCACUAGGGACUGUGAACACACCCGUCCCGCCUGUCGGAUCGAACCCGUAACCUACUCCAAGAGUAGCUGGUGGAGAAAACUCUCUAGGGACUGUGAAUACACCCAUCCCGUCUAAUUAGGUGACACCGUAGCUCAAGGUAACCGGCGGAGAAGACUCUCUAGAGACUGUGAAUACACCUGUUUCAUCUACUAGACUACACCGUAUCUCAAGAGUAACCGGCGGAGAAAACUCUCUAAAGACUGUGAAUACACCUGUCUCGUCUAAUUAGACUACACCGUAUCUCAAGAGUAGUCGAUUCCAGAAAAGGUCCAACAGGACGGCUAAGACUCCACUCACGUCACAACCUCACUAAAGGUAGGGAAAAGCGUCACUCACUAUCUCACCCGAGCUGCCCAAAACGGACCCACCCUGCCUGUAUCUAGCUGCGCCGUACACCACCCCAAGGGUAGCCGGCUCAAGAACUGUCCAACAGAAACUGCGACACUCAUCGCACUGAAACUUCAUUCCGGAAUGGCAUUCGUGGGCGCGACCCAACCGAGUUUACAAAGGUCUCUGUCAAGUUCGUACUGCUCUCACAGGCUAAGGUCAAGUAACCAACUCUAACUGGUCUAAUAACUAACAGAUCACGUGCCCUCGGCAUAAUCAGUCGCCAAAAAGGCGAUGCGGGUCCACCGUCAACCCCGACGGCCCCAACAGUCCGGAACAGCCUGAAAGCUACUAUAAAAAAAUUCACUCGGCAUCCCAGCACGAGCGUAAAUACAUUCUAAUCUACCUGGGAUACUCACUAUGAUAAUACUGCAACAGUAUAAAAUCAUGCAACGGCCCCUAGGGCUAAAUCAAGUAGUUUAACAUACGACGAUUAAUAUCGCAAGUUUUCUCCUAAGUCUUAUCCAAGUCUAACAUGUAUGUAUAUCCGUAGAUAAAUAGACUAAGCUCCAAUUCAGAUUAUUACAAAACUAAAUCAAUGAACCGAGCAAUUGCGACACGCAAAAGAAUUCCGCUAAUACAUGUUGACUAUAUAGGCACUUAGGAGUAAGACGAUGAUUAACCCACCUCGGUCGCUAAUCCCGGGCAGCACGGAACUCCCUCGGCUGCGGAACAACCUGCUGGAUCAACUGAAAAUAUCCGAGUCCCGAAAUCGAGCUAUCUCCAACUAUAAACAUCGAAAAUCCUCAAUUCAGUCCAAAAUCCACAGCAGCAGAGUAAAACAGAGCUUCGACCAAGCUAACCUUCACCAAAUUCCACAAGUAAGGGCUUCGUGGAUUCCUCUCGAAGUUCUAAAUCCAGCAAACCAAGUCUCGUCAAAAUUCGAUGCUCCUGCGUCGAGUACGAGUUGAAAUACUAACAGUCGACGAUGAAUUUCAGCAAAACAGCAUCACUUGAGUUCGAAGUAGUAAGAACUAGCCCAAAAACAAAUGGAAAUGCUGAAUUACCAACCUCGACAACGCCAAGCACCGAUGCGAUAGCAAGAACGGCGGAAACCCACGCUCGCCUGGCCUCCUCGCGCUACCCCAGGGUCAAAAGUGUGCUCGAACGGUCCCGCGGCGCGACGUCGGCAGCAAACCUUCCAACCGAGCUUCUUCCUUGCCUUCAACCGGAUGAGAGUGAGAGAGAGAUGAAGAUGAAGCAAAAAGACUCCUCUCUCUCUCUACACAAAGCUAUAUAGAGAGAGCGAGAGCUGCUGAUACAAACGAGGUGGAGAUUUACUCAAAUACCCUCUCACCUACUCCCUUGUACCGGUACACGGGCUCCUGUACCGGUACAAGAGCCAACCCGAGGGCAACCUGCGCGCAGCCUCGCUGGUUGUACCGGUACAGCCACGCUGGUUGUACCGGUACAGCAAGCAGAGAAAUCUGCUGUUUUACAGAUUUCUUCGCUAUAAGCUGCCCUCGCGUCGCACAGAGUCCGUUUUGCGUCUAUUUGACGCCAACGCGACUCGGACUUGUCCCGACACUCUCCAGAGCUGCCGACAAGCCUCCACAACAGUACACCAGGGAUCUCACA
rnacentral:lncRNA from 1 species